CAGCCGCCGCGGUAAUACAGAGGGUGCAAGCGUUAAUCGGAAUUACUGGGCGUAAAGCGCGCGUAGGUGGUUCGUUAAGUUGGAUGUGAAAUCCCCGGGCUCAACCUGGGAACUGCAUCCAAAACUGGCGAGCUAGAGUAGGGCAGAGGGUUGUGGAAUUUCCUGUGUAGCGGUGAAAUGCGUAGAUAUAGGAAGGAACACCAGUGGCGAAGGCGACCACCUGGGCUCAUACUGACACUGAGGUGCGAAAGCGUGGGGAGCAAACAGGAUUAGAUACCCCCGUAGUCCCUGUCUCUUAUCC
rnacentral:rRNA from 1 species